rnacentral:rRNA from 1 species
AGUGAACGCUGGCGGUAGGCCUAACACAUGCAAGUCGAACGGCAGCACAGUAAGAGCUUGCUCUUACGGGUGGCGAGUGGCGGACGGGUGAGGAAUACAUCGGAAUCUACUUUUUCGUGGGGGAUAACGUAGGGAAACUUACGCUAAUACCUCAUACGACCUACGGGUGAAAGCAGGGGAUCUUCGGACCUUUCGCGAUUGAAUGAGCCGAUGUCGGAUUAGCUAGUUGGCGGGGUAAAGGCCCACCAAGGCGACGAUCCGUAGCUGGUCUGAGAGGAUGAUCGGCCACACUGGAACUGAGACACGGUCCAGACUCCUACGGGAGGCAGCAGUGGGGAAUAUUGGACAAUGGGCGCAAGCCUGAUCCAGCCAUACCGCGUGGGUGAAGAAGGCCUUCGGGUUGUAAAGCCCUUUUGUUGGGAAAGAAAAGCAGCAGGUUAAUACCCCGCUGUUCUGACGGUACCCAAAGAAUAAGCACCGGCUAACUUCGUG